GGGCAGAAACUAUUCACUGUAGUUCUGAUGCAGAAAAAAAUGGAAUUUGGAGUGCACCUGCUCCUCAAUGCAAAGUGGUCAAGUGUCCAGAGCCAGCAGUUCAAAAUGGGAGAACAGAAACUGGAUAUUCACCUAACUAUAUUUAUAGAAGCAGAGUUGCUAUUAAAUGUCUCCCUGGCUAUGUCAUGAAUGGAAGUGAUGUGAUUGAAUGCCAAGAGGAUAAUACCUGGCAUCCUAAAUUGCCAGUUUGUCUACGUAAUCCACUGUCU